UAGCACAGAGAGCUUGCUCUCGGGUGACGAGUGGCGGACGGGUGAGUAAUGUCUGGGAAACUGCCCGAUGGAGGGGGAUAACUACUGGAAACGGUAGCUAAUACCGCAUAACGUCGCAAGACCAAAGUGGGGGACCUUCGGGCCUCACACCAUCGGAUGUGCCCAGAUGGGAUUAGCUAGUAGGUGGGGUAAUGGCUCACCUAGGCGACGAUCCCUAGCUGGUCUGAGAGGAUGACCAGCCACACUGGAACUGAGACACGGUCCAGACUCCUACGGGAGGCAGCAGUGGGGAAUAUUGCACAAUGGGCGCAAGCCUGAUGCAGCCAUGCCGCGUGUAUGAAGAAGGCCUUCGGGUUGUAAAGUACUUUCAGCGGGGAGGAAGGCGGUGGAGUUAAUAACUUCACCGAUUGACGUUACCCGCAGAAGAAGCACCGGCUAACUCCGUGCCAGCAGCCGCGGUAAUACGGAGGGUGCAAGCGUUAAUCGGAAUUACUGGGCGUAAAGCGCACGCAGGCGGUCUGUCAAGUCGGAUGUGAAAUCCCCGGGCUUAACCUGGGAACUGCAUUCGAAACUGGCAGGCUAGAGUCUUGUAGAGGGGGGUAGAAUUCCAGGUGUAGCGGUGAAAUGCGUAGAGAUCUGGAGGAAUACCGGUGGCGAAGGCGGCCCCCUGGACAAAGACUGACGCUCAGGUGCGAAAGCGU
rnacentral:rRNA from 1 species